CGGCGAGCUGCGGACGCACGGACUCAAUUGGCUGCAUGCUUGCCUCUGAAAGAGGAGGUUGUAGUUUCAAGACUUACUGGAGGAACUUCAUCAGAAAAAUCAAGCUGGUAACUGCCAUGUUUUAGAUGAGGUAAUCCAAGCCUUAGCCUCCUUUCUCAAGCAUAUGCGGAAGAUUCCUAGCAUCGCUCUGACAAGAAGCAUGGGAACAACAGGGUUCUUUUCAAGCCCCUGACCUGGAGUUACACGUUGACUUCGGUUCUUUGCGGGAAUGGGACCCUGUUCUUGGGGUUUCAGGACUGGCCGUUGUUCGGCACGCCAAGGGUUCGGCCUGAGAGUCCGGCUCAGAUCUGGAAGCCUAAAAUCUCGGGGCUCUGAAGACGGGUGGAUCGAGGGUCGGUGUCACGGCAGGAGACUUGUGUGUCGUCGGGGGAGUCUACUGCUGUGUGCCCAAAGACUCGGGAUCUUUUGAGAUCUUCAGGCACAGAGCUCGGAAAAAGCGAUGUAACAGACUUUUAACAUUGUAAACCAGCGAGUUGUUUGUUACGUCUCCCUGCUUGCUUGGAAAAUGGAGACACCUCUUUCUCCCUCAUUAGGGAGAGAGAGAAAACCUGUGGUAUGUUGAAUUCCGGGUGAAACGCAAAGUCUUUGGGGUAACUGCAAGUCUGUGUCUUUGCUAUUGCUUUGCUCACACUCGAGUGCUUGCUUUUUUU